UAAUAAUUUGCCUUAUAAAUUGAGGCUAGAAUGAAUGGUUUGACGAAGGUUUAUCUGUCUCUAUUUUAUUUAUUAGAAGUUAAUUUUUUUAGUGAGAAAGCUAAAAUAUUUUUAAGGGACGAGAAGACCCUAUUGAGCUUGAAUUUAAUUAUAUUAUUUUAAUAAUAUUUUGAUAAAUUUUAAUUGGGGUGAUUAAGGAAUAAAAAUUUAUAUAUUAUGUAGUAACUUCCUUAAUUAUAAUACUGUUAGGUUAAGUAACCAAUAAUAUUGCUUAUAAUAAAGUUACCAUAGGGAUAACAGCGUAAUUUAUUUAGAGAGUUCU
rnacentral:rRNA from 1 species